CUUGCCGUUUUGGUGAUUGUGGCUGAUCUUCUUGGCUGAUUUCUCGGCCUUGAUCGACGGGGAGAUGAGAGUUUGUCUCAUCUUCUACUUUUGGGCUUGUGUAGGAGCUCGUUCCCCAAUGCCCCUUUGUCUCGACUCCCUUUUGAUGUUAGAAGAGAUGGUACAUGAAGGCAUUCUUGGAGCUUGUGGAGGGAAGCAAAAAAAAUCGAGAUUAAGAAAGAGAGGGAAAGAAAGGAGAUGCUCCUCUUGAGCUCAUUUGGUUCUAUUCCCAAUUUAGUUUGCUUCCAAACUCGAGAAUUUAAAGAAGUAGGAUAGAUAGUGUAGAAUAGGUGCAUGUUGAUUUUAUCACACUUGCAGGCAUGUACUAUUUCCGUCAUCCAUGUAUUUCUAUUUUUUUCACGGUGUAUCCACAUUUCUCUAAUAAAAGUAUUUUCUCCA